AUUGGACGCUGGCGGCAUGCUUUACACAUGCAAGUCGAACGGCGGCGCGGGCUUCGGCCUGGCGGCGAGUGGCGAACGGGUGAGUAAUACAUCGGAACGUGCCCAGUAGUGGGGGAUAGCUCGGCGAAAGCCGGAUUAAUACCGCAUACGACCUGAGGGUGAAAGCGGGGGAUCUUCGGACCUCGCGCUAUUGGAGCGGCCGAUGGCAGAUUAGCUAGUUGGUGGGGUAAAGGCCUACCAAGGCGACGAUCUGUAGCUGGUCUGAGAGGACGACCAGCCACACUGGGACUGAGACACGGCCCAGACUCCUACGGGAGGCAGCAGUGGGGAAUUUUGGACAAUGGGCGAAAGCCUGAUCCAGCAAUGCCGCGUGUGUGAUGAAGGCCUUCGGGUUGUAAAGCACUUUUGGCGGGAACGAAAAGGACUGUGCCAAUACCACGGUUCGAUGACGGUACCCGCAGAAUAAGCACCGGCUAACUACGUG
rnacentral:rRNA from 1 species